UACGUAGGGCGCAAGCGUUGUCCGGAAUUAUUGGGCGUAAAGAGCUCGUAGGCGGCUUGUCACGUCGGGUGUGAAAGCCCGGGGCUUAACCCCGGGUCUGCAUUCGAUACGGGCUAGCUAGAGUGUGGUAGGGGAGAUCGGAAUUCCUGGUGUAGCGGUGAAAUGCGCAGAUAUCAGGAGGAACACCGGUGGCGAAGGCGGUUCUCUGGGAAUAUCCUGACGCUGAGGAGCGAAAGUGUGGGGAGCGAACAGG
rnacentral:rRNA from 1 species